UACGUAGGGCGCAAGCGUUAUCCGGAAUUAUUGGGCGUAAAGAGCUCGUAGGCGGUUUGUCGCGUCUGCUGUGAAAAACCUAAGGCUCAACCUUGGGCUUGCAGUGGGUACGGGGCAGACUAGAGUGCGGUAGGGGGUGACUGGAAUUCCUGGUGUAGCGGUGGGAAUGCGCAGAUAUCAGGGAGGGAAACACCCGAUGGCGAAAGGGCAGGGUCA
rnacentral:rRNA from 1 species